GACCUGCGGAGGAUCAUUAAAAAAAAAGUUGUGUGAGGCAGCUCCCAGGCAUUGCUGGGUGGCUACCUAGACACCGACACCCUCUGUAUAUCUACCCUGUUGCUUUGGUGGGGCGGCAGCCAACAGCUCCGCUGGGAACCUGCCCGCUGGGCCCCUAAGGCCCUGUGCGCACCCGCCAGAGGACCAUCAAACUCAUGUUAAACGGUGAUGUCUGAGCUUUAUCCAAGCAAUAAGUUAAAACUUUCAACAACGGAUCUCUUGGUUCUCGCAUCGAUGAAGAACGCAGCGAAAUGCGAUAAGUAAUGUGAAUUGCAGAAUUCAGUGAAUCAUCGAAUCUUUGAACGCAUAUUGCGCCUCUUGGUAUUCCGAGGGGCAUGCCUUUUCGAGCGUCAUUGCAACCGUCAAGCUCUGCUUGGUGUUGGACUUGCGUCCCUGCGUGGGCGAGUCUCAAAGUCAUCAGCGGCUGAGCGAACAGCUUCAAGCGUAGUAGAAAUUAACUCGCUGGGGAGCUGGCCUUGGGCAGCUGUCAAACAACGCACUUUGCGUACAUCUCAGGUUGACCUCGGGUAAGGUAGGGAUACCCGCUGAACUUAAGCAUAUCAAUAAGCGGAGGAA
rnacentral:rRNA from 1 species